rnacentral:rRNA from 1 species
AGCAGUAGCCGCGGAAUACGGAGGGUGCAAGCGUUAAUCGGAAUUACUGGGCGUAAAGCGCACGCAGGCGGUCUGACAAGUCAGAUGUGAAAUCCCCGGGCUUAACCUGGGAACUGCAUUUGAAACUGUCAGGCUGGAGUCUUGUAGAGGGGGGUAGAAUUCCAGGUGUAGCGGUGAAAUGCGUAGAGAUCUGGAGGAAUACCGGUGGCGAAGGCGGCCCCCUGGACAAAGACUGACGCUCAGGUGCGAAAGCGUGGGGAGCAAACAGGAUUAGAUACCCCGGUAGUCCCUGUCUCUUAUACA